AUGAACGCUGGCGGCGUGCCUAAUACAUGCAAGUCGAGCGAACAGAUGAGGAGCUUGCUCCUCUGACGUUAGCGGCGGACGGGUGAGUAACACGUGGAUAACCUACCUAUAAGACUGGGUUAACUUCGGGAAACCGGAGCUAAUACCGGAUAAUAUAUUGAACCGCAUGGUUCAAUAGUGAAAGACGGUUUUGCUGUCACUUAUAGAUGGAUCCGCGCCGCAUUAGCUAGUUGGUAAGGUAACGGCUUACCAAGGCAACGAUGCGUAGCCGACCUGAGAGGGUGAUCGGCCACACUGGAACUGAGACACGGUCCAGACUCCUACGGGAGGCAGCAGUAGGGAAUCUUCCGCAAUGGGCGAAAGCCUGACGGAGCAACGCCGCGUGAGUGAUGAAGGUCUUCGGAUCGUAAAACUCUGUUAUUAGGGAAGAACAAAUGUGUAAGUAACUAUGCACGUCUUGACGGUACCUAAUCAGAAAGCCACGGCUAACUACGUG
rnacentral:rRNA from 1 species